rnacentral:lncRNA from 1 species
CACACGUGUGGGCGUUAGUGUUUUCGAAUAAUAAUAAUUUGAUGAUAUGUACAUAGAAAACCAUGAGCGCACUAAUAAUUUGUUACGAAUUAAGAUUUCUACUUGAUGCGCUUAAGAUUUUCUCACACAAUAUCAACAAUGAUUUUUUCAGCUUCAUUCCCACGAUAAUAAUCAUCCUACAGAAGCAAUAUAUGUAGUUAGCAUGAAUAUUUCACAAUGAAGGUCUAAGAAUGUGCAACAGAGAAUACUCAUCGUGCAAAUCAAAGGAAGCAAUUCUUUACCGUUUCACAAGGGCAUAAAAUCAGAAAUAAAAUAGGCAGACACAUCUGCAAUUGAAUAACUUAAUAUUACCUUCAAUAUAGUAAUAACAAGAAUAAAUUUACCCGUCCACUGGAAAUUAAACAUAUAUAUAAAUAAAUCUUUUGCAGCCCAUCAUUGCUACGUAAGUGCCUAUGUCAUGUCAGUCGACAUUUUUGAAGCAUCAUCCAAAUCCAUAAGUUCUUAUAUGACUUAUAGAAGUGGAAAAUAUAAACAGUUAUUAGGAAACUAUAUAUUAAAGAUCAUGAAUUUAAAAUAUAUAUUCAAUGGUCAACGGCUAGAAAUGAACAAUGCCCAUUUUUAACUGAAUGAGUAACAUAGUGCUUUUUAGUAGAUUGAGUGGCAUCCCAAUUUCAAUAAAUUGUAGGCUCAUCUAUAAAUUACUAUUUGAUGAUUAUUCUUGGUAAUUUACUAUUUAGGGUAUGUGAUAUUCUAGCAGAAAAAAUAUGUUACAUUUCUCUAGAGAAAACAACCGAAUUUCCCUCUAUAUAAAAAACAGUCAAUUUUUCUAAAAAUCAAAUGCAGCUAACCUCUCCUUUGCUUCUUAUCUUAUUCCGCAAAAGAAAAACACAACUCACUCCUCUCACUCUCUCAACACACAGGCACAAGCCUCACUCUUCCCACCACCCCUGCCGCUUCUCCCCGACACAGCGUCGCCUCGCCUCCUUUCCCUCCUAUGCUUGGAUAUGUGGCCUCCGCUCCAUGCUCACCGCCCCCUCCCAUCCCUCAGUUGCAAUAUCUCCCCUCUCCUGCGAGCCAUGGUAUAAGCUCCGGCCAGGUCUGGUGAGCGGCGGUGAGCACACUUGGCGUGGUUAGUACCUGGAUUCGGGCUUGACGACGACUUGUGACCCCGUACGGGUCGCCCCGUCACUUAUCCCUAGC